rnacentral:lncRNA from 1 species
GACCGCAGAUGGUAUCUCUCCGGACUUCUCCAACAGUCGGAUUCCCACAGUGCUGACUGAAUUCCCCCGACGGACGAACUCCCACUACACCACCCGAGCUCCUUCAACAUGAGUUUCCCCAGUUAUCUAUUAAGCCGCCCUAAGCGCUCACUAAGCUCCGCCGCCAGCCGACUUUCUACGAAUAUCAGCUGUUCCCCGAAUCCCUUCCAGACUUCUUUCAGCCAGGUUCAACUCCAAUCUGAACUACCCC